GUGUGUGUGUGUGUGUGUGUGUGUGUGUGUGUGUGUGUGUGUGUGUGUGUGUGUUGGUUUUUGUGGUUUACAAGGACUUUUGACCUGAAUACGCACCAGCAUUACAGGGACAUUUGGGUUUAUGAGGACAGGGCCCAUGUCCUUAUAAUUCCGACAGUGUAGAUGCCUUUCUCUAUGUCCCAGAAGCUCCCUCUCAAAUUUUCGCGCCAUGUCCUAAUAUACCACAAAACCCUGAAAUUUUACUAUACACUGUGUAUCCUCUGAGCUCGGGAGUGCGCCCCUGCAGCCCGGACCCGGUACUGCAUCCGCGUCAUCGAAAAUUUGCAUAUUUUACACUUGUGUAAGUUUGUAGGCCGCUGAUUGGCUAGAUCGCGCAUCGGAGGGCGGGAAAUCGCGAAAACAAAAUGGCGGCGGUGGGCGGGGCUACAUUCUGCCGCUAAUAGCUCCGUACAACGAGGCAAGUGUGACGGUUUGUAACUUCCUGUUUGGAACGGACGCAAUCUGUGCACCUGAAGCGAAGACAUCUGUGGUGUGAAGCUGUUGGAGACAACUAUUAUAUUAAAGACACAUGAGAGGAUGGCUGAAGGUGCGAGGCGAAGGAGAAAGA